AUACGGAGGGUGCAAGCGUUGUUCGGAAUUACUGGGCGUAAAGGGCGCGCAGGCGGCCUGCCAAGUCUGAUGUGAAAGCCCCCGGCUCAACCGGGGAAGCGCGUUGGAAACUGGCAGGCUCGAGUACCGAAGAGGAGAGCGGAAUUCCUGGUGUAGCGGUGAAAUGCGUAGAUAUCAGGAGGAACAUCGGUGGCGAAGGCGGCUCUCUGGUCGAGUACUGACGCUGAGGCGCGAAAGCGUGGGGAUCAAACAGGAUUAGAUACCCUGGUAGUCCACGCCGUAAACGAUGAGGACUAGGUGUGGGAGGUUCAUUCCUUCCGUGCCGAAGCUAACGCAUUAAGUCCUCCGCCUGGGGACUACGGCCGCAAGGCUAAAACUCAAAGGAAUUGACGGGGCCCGCACAAGCGGUGGAGCAUGUGGUUUAAUUCGACGCAACGCGCAGAACCUUACCUGGGCUAGACAACAUCGGACAGCCCCAGAGAUGGGGUCUUCCCUUCGGGGACCGGUGGUUCAGGUGC
rnacentral:rRNA from 1 species